rnacentral:pre_miRNA from 1 species
CUAGUACUCCCUCCGUCCGGAAAUACUUGUUGGAAAAAUGGAUGAAUCUAGACGUAUUUUAAUUAUAGAUACAUCCAAUUUUAUUCAUUUCUCUGACAAGUAUUUCGGAACGGAGGGAGUAUUUG